rnacentral:rRNA from 1 species
UAGGGAAUAUUAGAAAUGGACGAAAGUCUGAUCUAGCAACACCGCGUGUGCGAAGAAGGCCUUCGGGUUGUAAAGCACUUUUUGGAAGGAUUAGGAAGGAAUGUACUUCCAGAAUAAGUCUCGGCUAACUACGUGCCAGCAGCCGCGGUAACACGUAGGAGGCAAACGUUAUCCGGAUUUACUGGGCGUAAAGCGCGUGUAGGUGGUUCUGUAAGUAGGGCGUGAAAGCUCCUGGCUCAACUGGGAGAGGCCGUUCUAAACUGCCGGACUAGAGGAUGGUAGAGGGAGGUGGAAUUCCGAGUGUAGUGGUGGAAUGCGUAGAUAUUCGGAGGAACACCAGUGGCGAAAGCGGCCUCCUGGCUCAUAACUGACGCUCAGACGCGAAAGCUAGGGUAGCAAACG